CUGGAGGGCUGGGGGCCUACUAGGUCAGGUCGGCUGUAGGAUUCUGCUCCAGGGUUGGCGGCUGCUUCUUUCUGGCCUGGCUGCCACUGAGUAGCCGAGGGGCCGCCGUGACCCUCUGACUGAUUGACUGGCUGGCUGCCUACGUCGGCGCUCCUCAGGGCCCCAAGCUCCUCAGGCCGAACUUCGGGGUUGGAUUGCUCAAGAGUUGUGCUGAGACCCAGAAGGCUAGAGGCUAGUUUCGAAGCUGUAGCUCAGGCUGAGUCUCAAGGCGGGCGGCGACUGGACGGCCAGACCGGCGAGCUCUUGACGGGAAGGCGACCGGCAGCCUCGGGCAGGGGAGACAGGACUGUAUGUCAGAGAAGAGACGGCGCUUGGACGCCAGGAAUCCUCUGAAGCAGGAGACUGCCCUAUCCAGAAGAUGACUCAAGACCGGCCUCUGCUUGCCGUGCAGGAGGCGCUGAAGAAGUGCUUCCCCGUGGUGGAGGAGCAGCAGGGCCUGUGGCAGAGUGCCCUGCGGGACUGCCAGCCCCUCCUGUCCUCCCUCAGCAACCUGGCGGAACAGCUGCAGGCCGCACAGAACCUGCGGUUUGAGGAUGUGCCGGCGCUUCGGGCCUUCCCAGAUUUAAAAGAGCGGCUGAGGCAGCCAUCCUCCUCAAGGUGCGAGACAUGGUCAGCAGCCAUGUGGAGCGAGUGUUUCAGAUCUAUGAGCAACACGCAGACACAGUUGGCAUUGAUGCUGUCCUGCAGCCUUCAGCAGUGAGCCCCUCUGUGGCUGACAUGUUGGAAUGGUUGCAGGAUAUUGAGAGACAUUAUCGAAAGUCACUGCAUUUUCUUUUGAGCAGUCCUUAACUUCCAGAAAGGUACCUGAAGAGAAAGUAUCUUCUUUCGUCUAUCCAGUGGGGAGACUUGGCAAACAUACAAGCUUUGCCCAAGGCCUGGGACCGAAUUUCAAAAGACGAACACCAAGAUCUUGUACAAGAUAUCCUAUUGAAUGUUUCCUUCUUCCUGGAAGAGUAAGGAAGCUAUGCGUAUCUGGAGACCACGGGUACCACAGUUGAAGACUGACAUUCUGAACCCUGAUGUUUCUAAAGAAACGUCAGUAUUUCAGUCUGACAUAUUUGAAACAUCAGUGCCUUGAACCUUAGGACUGGGUCUUGGGGAGGAUUAGCGCCUAGAUGUCUGAUUUUGGAGCUGCAGCAUGCCAGGCCGUGGCUGAGAGUAUGUGAGCCAUGCCUUGCCCUUUUCUGAGGCUCAGGGAAGUGGAUGGAGCUAGAGAGACAACAGGAAAGACGGUGCUGAAGAACAUAGUGUCUUUCCUCUAUUGUGGACCUAAAGAGGUGGGGAAGCAAGGACAAGAGGCAAAGAGCCACACUGCCCUUGGCAUCAUCCAAAGCAUUGUCUGGUUGACACCAGGUCCUGGUUUUGUGUCUUUUGUCAAUACCUGAAUCCUUGACAAAAGAAAAAGUGGUUUUGAUGAUUUAAAGAAAUAAGGGUGAUUUUGACAGAAAAUAUAUUUUAAAAAUUUUGACCAAUUGCAAUAGUUAUCCUCAAGCCAAUUUCCAGAACCUGCCACCAGGGGGAGGUGGUGCAGCAUGAAUCAUUCUGAAUGCUUUGUCUUUGAAGUGUUCCCCUAUUGCUGUUACCAUCUCAGAGGAAGUAACUGGGCAUGGUGAGACUCCUAAAAUGACAGGAGUUUUUUUGGCCAAAGCUGGCAUCUGACUUGCCACAUUCCUCUGAGUCUGGAGUAGCCGCAGGGGUGGGAGAAUGCCAGCCCAGAGUCAGUCCAUCGGGGUUACAUUUCCAAGGUCUGCUGCCUUCAUCUAUGUAAUGGCCGUGUUACUUUCAGAUCUUUCAGCUUCCCAGAGUGUUGUGGGAAUCUUGGUCAUUGAAUGUAAAGGGACUUAGUAAAGGGUAUAGAUAUUUUUCAAAAAUGAAAAUAACUUUUUUUCUUAUAAGUGAUAAGCUUUUAUAAAGAUCAUAGGAAAACUAGAAAAAAUGUAAAAUGUAGAAAAUUGUAAAACAAACUUCAUUAGAGAUAUUUUGAUAGAUACCUUUUCAGUGUCUAUUUACAAAUUUUUUCUUUUAAUAUAGAUAGGGUCUCACUAUAUUGCCCAGCUCACUCCUGAGCUCAAGGGAUCCUCCCACCAUAGCCUCCCAAAAUAUUGGAAAUACAGGCAUGAGCCACUGCUCCUGACCAAUUCACAAAUUUUUUUAAAGAACAAACGUGCUAUCAUCGAUACAUACUGUUAGGUUGUCUUUUUUUAAAAAACCUAAUGUAAUUUGUUCAUCUUUUUAUAUCUGUAAAUAUAGCUCAACACAGUUAUAUUCUUUUUGUGAAUGUAUUAUAUCUACAAUUUACCUUUUUUCUUAGAUUUUACAUGCAUUUUCCCAAAUCUUUGUGUUUGCCUAUCUGUAAAGGUAAUACAUUCUGAUUACAAAAAAUGAAAAUGUUACAUAGAAAUGUACCGUUAUCCAUCUACCAGAUAACUAUUAUUAAUAAUGUGUAUUUAUUUUUCCAGGAAUUAAAAAACAUCUAUCAUAUAAGUAUUGCAAAUAAAACUUAAAAAGCA
rnacentral:lncRNA from 1 species